GCUCUUAGCUCAGUUAGUAAAGCAUGUGACUCUUCAUCUUAGGGUUGUGGGUUUGAACCCCAUGUUGGGCA